CCCGCCGCUCCGCUCCGCGCCCGGCCCCGGCCCCGGCCCGCCCGACCCCUGCCCGCAGCGGGGCCGCGGUGCCAAGUCCAUGUGUCCCACUUGUCUGGAAGAACGUUUGGAGUCUGGCAGUCUGGUUGUUUUCGUAGCUCCAGAGGAUUUUUAGGAGCAUGGGGAGCAUGGGAUGCAUCGACCUGUGGACCACAAAACCCUCUGGAGAAUGUUGGCUGUGGAUAAAAGCAUUUGGAAGUUUCUACCAUCUUUUUACCCUGGUUUUUCCUGGGUCACCCUGUGUCAUUUGUGGCCCUGUCCUGAGGAUUAUGGCAAACAGUCACUUACUGGAAUACCUCCCCAUGCAUCUUGAAAUGAAGCCACUGCUUUACCCAGCUGGAAGAUAUUUUCUCUUCUCCCAGAGCUCUUCCAGUGCAGCAGCAGCACUCCUGUCCAGCAGGAUGAUUGGUGUGCCCUGUCCUUGUUGUGAACUGCUUUGCCAGGAAGAUUAAUGGCAGAGGAGAAAAUGUGAGGUAAGGACAGGUCUUGAUUGACUGCAGAAAGGAGAAGGGAGGAGUGUGUCAAAGGAAGGUCAGAUCCUGGCAGGGUUUCCUGGGAAAUGAGACCCAUGCAGUAUGGAAUAUUUUUGCCCAAGGACCAGAUGGCUUGAAAUCCAUCAUUCAACCAGGUAAUUUUAGCAUUUACAAGAAGGCCAAAUGAAUUAAUCUGAGGAGGAUGAGAGGAUUGGAUGGACAAGAUGGGUCCACUAGAGCAAGUGAAGGAAUUAAAGAAGAGCAAAUAAGUCUGUGGCAAGGGAGGGCUUUCCAGCUCUUUGAGAGAAUGCAUUCAGGGACUACAUCCUGGGAUAUGCCUUUGAGGCUUAGAGGAACCCAGCAGAUGUGAAGAUCCUGGAACCAAGAAGCACAAAGAGAACCUGCAAGCAUAAUUAUGAUAAGCAUCAAUGGGUGGUUUCAGAGUGUCAGAACUGGGUGCUUCAUUCCUUUGGCUCAAGUGCUUGUAGUCAGGAAAGUUUUGUGUGUCUUUCGUAGAGCCACAGACCGGCCCAGACUGGAAACGAUCAUCUGGUUCAGUCUUUUGUGGGAAAGGGAGCCAAGGUGAUUGUAGCAACCUUGUCCAGUUGUACCUUGAAGAUCUCCAGUGAUGGAGACUCUGCUGUCUCCCUGGGCAGGUUAUUUCAGUGUAUCCACUGUUUGGAUGAUGAAACUCGAUGAGCUGCAAUUUGGCUUGGAUUACAGUAUUUCAGAAGACUUUCUGAACUUGCCAGGCAACCCUUCCCCUAGACUUUGGGGACAGAGGAGCCUAAAUUUUCAUUUCCAGUGUCACACAAGGAGAUAGAAUGCUUUACACAAGUAAUGAAAAUCAAUGCUGUGUUGCUUUUGGAAGGAGUACUCCAAAGAAGAAAAGCCUUGCCUAUACAUCUUGGUUUAGAGACAGAUUUUACCUAGGAGGAAUGUGGAUACUAGAAGAAGGAGAAGAGGUGAUGCUACAAGCCAGCUUCCUGACCCUCCAGAGUGGGACUGAAGCUUUUUAACAAGGACCCACCAGCGGAGCAGCACGCUUUUCCGAGCCAAGCUAAAUACAAGAGCGGCUAAUAAAAGGCAUCCGCAUUUCCAGUUGGUUGCUGCUGAGCAGACACGUGUCCUUGCAGCUCUUGUGAUCAGUCAGCUGCCUAAAUACAGCUCCUGCACUUGGGUUAAGGACGAGGUGUUGCUACUCAGGCUUUCCGGGGCGUUCCCCUGCUGACCUUUCAAGAAAGUGAAGCAGCACGGUCUCUCCCUCUCUCUGACGUGUGCUGAGUCAAGGCUGCUGCUUUCUAAGAGAGAUUUAUCUGGAAAGUAUGACUGACAGGAGCAGCUUACUCACCAUUAGAUAAGUAUUGCAGAUGACUCAUGCUGGAGUAUUGAUAGCUGCUGCUGAGAUGGAUGUCCUGUUUUAUAACAGCUGUAGUGUGAUGCCACGAGGCAGGAACCUUAAUUUCACUAUCCAUGCUUUUCCAUGAGUGUGCUUUGGGUCUCUGGCACCUUUUCUCCUUGGUUUGUCCAUCUAAAGGGUUCACAGGGAGGGGAGGUUUUGCUUCCCUCAGUGGGGUACAGGGUAUGGGGCAGCUCAUGCCACCUUGAAAUGAAAGCUAGUGUUGAAAGGCUGCAGCUUUUAUAGCUGUUCUUCAGGACUUGCAAUGUUUGUCUUUUUAAUAGAUGCCAUUAGUGACUUUCCUCGAUUCUUUGGUUUUUUUUGUUUUGUUUGUGUUUUUUCAGAGCCAUUAUACCCCUUCUUCAGCAGAACAAACCAGAAGGUGUAGAAACAGAUUUUCUAAGUAUGGAAGCUCUCCUGAGGUGCUGCAUUAUUCGCUGCUGCCCCUGGGAUGGGACACAGAGCAAGGAGUGAAGAAGAGCUGCGAUGUGCCACUGCUUUUGUGAGGAGAGGGGCUUUCUGGCACGUCAUAUGGUGCCAAAAGACAUUUUACUCUUGGCAGCAAAAAUCCUUAUCCUUCUUGGUUUUUUUUUUUCCAGGACAGAUGCUAUUUCCUGUUAGAGAUGCUUUGUAUGCAAAUCAAGGUGGUGCAACAUGAAAAAAGUCCUGAAAGCAAUCACACCGAUAAACUCAGCCCACUGGGGAAUUCCUACUUAUCAUUUAUCUUUUGUUUUUUCAGUUCUGUACAAGAUACUUCUUUGCCUGUGCUUUCUUACAGUCUUUAAUGUUUGUCCUGCCAGACCUCUUGCUUAUGAACUACAGUGCUUGCAUUUUGCAGGGCUCCAUGCAUUUUGCAGGGCUGCACAAACAAAAGGCAGUAAGUGCUGGAAAUUGGGGUUAACAGUCCCUGUGUUUCAGCUUGAUCUUGCAUUGAUCUGUUGCUUUCUUAAAUUCAAGGCAGACAUGAGUCUCACACAACAGAUUGCCACAUGACUAUAGUGAUGAUCUACUGGAAAGGUGAUCCCAGAAACCUCAGGAAUGAAAAAAAAAAGAGAUAUAAAGCAAAAAGAAGACAGCAAAAAGUUUACCUAGUAACUUAAACAGGAGCAGUAUUUGACUUGAGGCACCUCAAGAGAUGGUAUGGGCAGCACUGCACUAAUGCAGUAACACGAGUUGAUCACCUCAUUGCUCCAGCAAAGCAAACUCACAUAGAAUCACAGACUGGUUUGGAUGGGAAGGGACUGUAAAAAUCAUCUAGUUGAACUCCUGUGCCGUGGGCGGGGAGACCUUCUAUCAGACCGGGUUGCUCAGGGACCCUUCCAACCUGGCCUUCAACACUUCCAGGGGUUGGGCAUCCACAACUUCCCUGGGCAUCUUGUGCCCUACAGGUGUCCCUAUAAGUGGAUGGGGCUGAUCAAAACCUGCAAAACCAGGCUGCCACCCUGCUGAUAUUACAACAGGCUGUGAGGGUGAAAAAAAGACUCAGAAACAGAAAAGGAUGUGUCAGAGAGCUGCAGAACGGCAUUGCCAAAGAACAUUCUUGUGCGUGUCCAGAGAUAGCCACUGCAGCCCAGGUCCUGUUGAAUCAUGCUGUGGUUGUUCUGGCCUUUGUGUGGGUGACAGUGAUAAUCAUUGUGUGUGGUGUUGGGUUUUUAUUAUUUCUUUUUUUUCCCCUUAAAUGUAAAAUUAACAGUCAAAUUAGCAUUGGUGAGGCAGCAAGCCUGGUGCAGCUUUUAUCUAUCCUGAACCUCAGAACAAAGGAGGGGAGGAAAAUGGCUUGGCCAGUUUGGCAGCCGUGCACAUAACGGUCCCAGAGUUCAAAGCAAAGGGCACAACAGUCAGAUACCCCAACCCUCCUGGGCUUUGGCUGAUAAGUCACAUUUCAAAGUAAAAGGCAAUCCUACAGGGGCUCUGCUGAGUGCCUAAAGCUCCAGUGCUGAGUCUUCUUUAAAAGGGGAUUUCAUAAGGAGUAAUAUGAACAGAAAUGGCUCUUUUGUGGUUUUGCACAUUCCAGGCAUGCCAGGACUGUUCCUGUCAAGGAUGGGCAAUCUCUGGGGUUUUAGGUUCUUUUUAUUUUUUUUCCCCAAAUAUUUGCCACAAACUAGCAGCUGAAAUGGUGAAAAAUAAAUAGGAGUUGCAAAAUCAUUACAGUAGCAGUAAUGGAAACUGUGAGGCUUAUACUUAAAUUGGCUGUGGGGUUUCACUCCAUCUUCUGCACUGUUGCACUGUGAGGGUUACUACUUUUACCUGCUAUGACCACUUCAGGGUGGAUGAUUUGAAAGCAGAGCUUUAACUGCUUGUUACCCAGGACCUCAAAAACCAGUGCUUUUGGCUUUUUCAGAAGCAAUUACCUUUUCAGUGUAAUUGCUAAUUCUUGCAAUGUCCGUGCAGUUAUGGGACCAUACAGCAUCUUUAUAUGAUGAUUUCUGCAGGUCUGUGUGUACAGAAAUGGGGCCCAACUGUUCCUGCUUCAGGUGCACUUUUGUUUCACAGAGGUUAUGCAGGCUUGGAUUGUACCCAUUAACACAGAAUUUUAAUUGAUGUAAGAGUUUCAGUGCACAAAGUUGUGGUGCCUGAAAUCUUAAAGGAGAUCACCUUUGCUCUGCCUUAGAACAGUCUGAAGUUUCAUGUGCAGUAAAACACUAGAUGGUUUGUGUAGACCUGCCCUUUAGAUGAGGGUCUAAUUCAUAAGCCUGCAUGUCCUGUUCUUCUCCACAUGGCUACUGCUCCUGUUGCCUUGACCUGUGUCUGGUGUAGUAGCAGGACCUCAUGGACAGCUGGGAAAGCCACAGCCCGAGAUGUUACUGCUGUCUCCUCAUGAAAUGUAUGGCUGUAUCAAUGUGCCAUUAAGUGUGUGCCUCAGCCCCCCUGAGACACCCUACACAAACACUCAGUACGUUUAUUAGCAGCACACUGACCACAGCCAGCUCAGCACCUUCAUGAGCUGGAGCUGCACCUUUACCUGCUGUCCAGGUGAGACUAAUCUUUCUAUGGGGGGAGUAGAAAAUGGAGCUAGGCUCAUCCCAGCAAAGUCUGAACUACAGGACCGUAGAUACCAUCCUGAGAAUUUGUUUUCAGCCCAAGUUUGACUGGGGCACAAAUGCAGAGGGAGAGUGAGAAAGCAUCUCUUUGAAAGUGGCAAUUAAAGAGACACUGUUGGAAUGAACUUUCUGGCAUGGUUUUAUUAAAUGUGAAUAUGGUUACUUAGUGGUGAACAGGAACUGGAGUGAAUUUAGGGGAUGGUUCCUGAAGCCCCCUCCCAUUCUCCAACACAGGCUGAUGUUACAGGGAAGUCUCAAGGCUGUUGCCUGGGCUGUUUUGAGUCUGUGGGUGGAGGAACUUAAUCACCAGGGUUGCCAUCAAAUGCUGCACUUACAAGAUACAAGGAAGAAAUGCUUGUGUUAAUUCUGUGCUCAACAUACAUAUUUUUCAUCUUAGACAAGUCUGGUCUUCCAGCCUUCUGGACUCCUGCCACUUUGGGUUUGAGAAAAAAAUUUUUUUUCUUUCUCCAUCAGUGCUACCAACCACAGAAUUUUGGAAACAAAAAGUCAGAAUGAGCUGUCUUUUUACUAGGCUGAUCUUUUCAGGAGUUGUUUUUGAAGUGGAUUUUGUUCUGUCCACUCAAGGUCUCUGCUGUGGAAAUAUUUAUUGCUGUGAAACUGUAGCAAGCUUUAUAAGUGGCAGGAAAAACUACUUUUGUAACCAAACAAGUGUGUUUUCCCUACAAGUCACACAGGUGUACAUUCCAAAUUUUUUUGUUUUGUUUUGUACUGUGUUAUCUGGAGUGGGAAAAUGAGUGGACCUUGCAUUUUAAUAUAGAUUCCCUCCAUUUAAUCACAGCAGAAGCGUACAUAGAGAUUCUUUGUUUUUUCUUCUUUUUCUGUGUAUUUACUUAGUGUUUUGUGCCUUGGAAUCUCUGUUUUCCUUCUUUUUGAUGGUUUAAGAGUUUUGAUAGAGACGGCAAAAGUGCUUAAAAGUAUUAAUGUCCCUGGGAAGUCUACAAAAGGUAUGCAGUGGUGAAGAGAUGCAGGCAACCUGUAGAAGAGCCAGAUUUUGACAGCAUGGGAAGUGGUUAGCGCCUCAUUGGACAUCCUCACAUCAAAGCUGGACAGUGGGCUCUUGAGAUACUCUGUUUGAACCACAAAUUGCUGGGCUUUGGGCAGAAAUCACUGUGUGAAAUUCUGUGGUCUUUAUUAGGCAGGCGGACAGACAAAAUAAUUUUGUUGGUUUCUCUUGGCUCUUAGAAUUUAUGAAUCACAUAGUCAGGGUGUUCUGGGGGGGGCUUGAGUUUCCAUGAAAAGUUUGCUGUGGCAGCAUGCAGACAACAAAACCCAUCUGUUCUCUUGUCCUUUCAUCAUGCUGUGUUGCUUUUGAAUUGUUCCAGAAGGAGGAUGAAAUUGGGCUUGUUAUUUAAAUUUCAGUAUGGGUGGCCAAAGCAACUCUACCUUGGUUAUUAUGGGCCUCCUGUGACCACAGGAAUGGAUGGUGCCUUAUGCCAGUCCUGAUUUAACAAACACCUGAGGACCGACUCAGCACUGCAGCAUAGCCCAUGGGAAUUGUGUGCCAUGGGAUCCUGCAGCAAGGCAGUGUCUGGGAAUAUAUCCUUGCAGUCUUUAGUAGUAAGGAUAUAAUCAGCCCUUGUAGGCUGGUAUCUGAUUAAAUAGCACAGUGUGCAAAGAAUUCAGGUUCUGUCUGGAGUUGCGUGAGCCCAUCUGGGGAGCAGUGUCAGGGAGAGAGUCCAUGGGAUCCUCGUGUGUGAUCACAUGAGAGUGAGCUCGUGAUGGAGCUGUGAGACAGAAAGGAACCCUGCAACUCUGGAGAGCAAGUAGGAGCAGGGAUAUGAUUCCUGACUUUGUCCUUUUAAAGGGUGACACACUGCCUGGUGUCUGUACUUGAAGAAGGGAGGGGUAGUGCCAAGAAGAAUUAAUGGAAAGCCACAGAUUACUUGGGCUUGCUUUGACUCCAGGCAUGAGGAGUGCAAUUUAGUUAAUUGGGAUGAAGGCUGGCAAGGGGGUGACUUGACUGCCACAUCUAGAGGAAAAAAGGUUUGAUCAGCAGGUUUGGGAUAAGGAGGAACCCUUAAAAUUUCUAUGUCCUUUUCCAGAUUUUAGAGGAAAUGUCUCUAGCAUCGCAAGUUUAGUUUAAAAUAUUGGGCUUAUUAUGUUGAGGUCUUGGGUGAAAGGGACUGAUACGCAGUGUAGUGAAGUCAGGAUGGAUUAUUUGGGUCUUUCUGCCUUUAUGCUCAGAGCUCUGGUACUCCCCAGCACCUUCCUCCCUCAGAGAAGGGAAGCACCUUCUUCUACCCCUCCCUGGGAUAGAGAGGUUUUGCCAUAACACUGGGCAUAGCGUAAACUGUCAGGACAAAAUGCUUUGGAGCCAUCUCAUCUCAAGACAGGUGUCUAAGAUAACUGGCUUUCCCUCUGGUAAUGGCUGUUGUCCUGCAGCAGCUUUGUGGAAGAACAGAAAUCUGGCUGAGAUGUGGACUCCUGUGCUUUGGAUAUCUGAAGCUGUGUGAGGUGAACACCCCUCUCACUGCCUGUGUGCAUGAUGAGGAGUUAGUGGAAUAAAGAACCCAACAAAGAACUGUCUGACACCACCUGAGAUGAAAAUAAUAUGGAAAAUUUAAUCAGCUCUCUGCAGCUGAGCAGUCCCUGGAGGUCCUGUACCAAAACUGACCCACUUGCUGAGCCCCAGCAGUGCAGCACUGGGCACUCCUCUGCCUGCCUAAGAAGAAGUAUGAAAAGAGACAAGUCCAGGGGACAGCAAUCAGUGGUAGAUGUUGCUGUGAAGAUGAUUCCCCUGCGCUCCUCAGACAAGCACCAAGCUUUCCCCUUCCUGUGUGUACCUGUCCUGCUGGCUGCAGCCCUUGCUGGACCCUGGAAGGAUGCAAGGCUCUGGCUCUUUGAAUGGCUGUCCAGAACAGUGAGGGAAAACUGCCUCCUCCCUGGACACAAAUCACAAUGAUUUGCUGGUGUUUUUUCUUGUGGUUUUUUUUUUUUUUUUUUUUUUUUUCUUUUGGCUGUCUGAAUAACUAAGUACAAACCUCUUUCACCUAUUUGACAUUAAUUCACUAAUGGAUGGCAGAAGGUUUCAUGUUUGGUUUUUAGCUGAAAAAGUGAUGAUGCAAUUAUAAACCUCACAUCCAUUAUGUAUCUUUGAACCAUGUGAAAAGUGUGAAUUUUUACAGAAAGUGUGAGAGUGGUGGGGGUUGUGGAAUAAACUUUUUUGCCUGAA